UACACACCGCCCGUCACACCAUGGGAGUCAGUUGCUCCAGAAGUGGCUUGCCUAACCGCAAGGAAGGCGGUCCCUAAGGAGUGGCUGGUAACUGGGGUG
rnacentral:rRNA from 1 species